CAGCCGCCACGGUAAUACGAAGGGUGCAAGCGUUACUCGGAAUUACUGGGCGUAAAGCGUGCGUAGGUGGUGGUUUAAGUCCGUUGUGAAAGCCCUGGGCUCAACCUGGGAAUUGCAGUGGAUACUGGAUCACUAGAGUGUGGUAGAGGAUAGUGGAAUUUCCGGUGUAGCAGUGAAAUGCGUAGAGAUCGGAAGGAACAUCUGUGGCGAAGGCGACUAUCUGGGCCAACACUGACACUGAGGCACGAAAGCGUGGGGAGCAAACAGGAUUAGAUACCCCCGUAGUCCCUGUCUCUUAUAC
rnacentral:rRNA from 1 species